rnacentral:rRNA from 1 species
UACGGGGGGAGCAAGCGUUGUUCGGAUUUACUGGGCGUAAAGGGCGCGUAGGCGGUCAGCACAAGUCAGUUGUGAAAUCUCCGGGCUUAACUCGGAAAGGUCAACUGAUACUGUGCGACUAGAGUGCGGAAGGGGCAACUGGAAUUCUCGGUGUAGCGGUGAAAUGCGUAGAUAUCGAGAGGAACACCUGCGGCGAAGGCGGGUUGCUGGGCCGACACUGACGCUGAUACGCGAAGGCAUGGGGAGCGAACGGG